AUGCCGUUCCUGCGGACUCCAAUCCUGGGUCUGGUUGCGGUCAACAGUCGGCGGCGACGGCCAGAUGAGAUGGUUUUCGCCGGCGUCCGGAUGCAUCUCCGACUAGGUCGGCGCAAUCGACUGCCAGAGUCAACCGAGAAGCCCCUGGUUGGACAAAAAGGUUUAGUGCCCAUGGCAUUCGGAGGUACCCAGGAGCCUGCAGCCUACGGUGAGCUGGUUUCCAUCGGAGGGCUGAACCCUGAUGUGAACAAGAAGCUGAGCGCCGACAUUGCUUCCAUCGUGGAGUCAAAGUUGUCCAUCCCCAAGUUCCCGCUUCUGCCUCAAGUUCCAGUAUUCAAAGCGCUCGGACUUUGGAUGGAACUGAUUGACCUUUUAGACGGGUCAUAUGGCGUAGAGUCUUGUAUGAGCUUCAGAGUUCGUAAUAUUCUGUCCAUUGCGUAUUCAAGGAGAAACUGCUGCAGUAAGAUGUCUUGUCAGUUUAAUGGCCAGUGUUUAUGA
rnacentral:rRNA from 1 species